GCUAGCCUUGGGCUUGCCAUGGACCUCCAUGCUUCCCUCAAGCCUGCACUCUCAGGCCCGGAUGCAGGAAAAAGGCUCGGGCGUGCUGGUUGCUUCCACCUCGUGGUCAUUGUGAACGCUGCUGCAAUGAACAUGGUGGUACAAAUAUCUCUUAGAGACCCUGCUUUUCAAUGCUUUGGGAUACAUACCCAGACAUGGGAUUACUGGAUAAUAGGCCUGCCAUUCCCAUAUCCUGCGCCCAUAAAAGGACCAGCUGACAGAGCAAUAUGAAUGGCUAAGUGUUGGGGAUACAAGAAGAGACUACAGAUAGCUGCGGCCAACUUCAGAUGGUGCGACUUCAGGGAAAGAUCACCUUCUUCCCCCACCAUCCCCUUUCCUAUUCCCCAUUCCACUGAGAGCCACAUCCAUUGCCCAAUAAAAUCCUCCACAUAUACUACCCUUCAGUCCGUUCAUGUGACCUGAUUCUUUCUGGACAGCAGACAAGAACCCAUGAGGGCAGGGGCUGGGACAUUGCUCCAGAGCCCACACACAGCCUGCUCUCACCAGAGAGGAGUGACCGGUGAGUUCCAGCAUUCGUAUUUUCGCUCUGGGUCCUGCACUCACUUGCACGCUCCCUC
rnacentral:lncRNA from 10 species